UGGCAGCAGGUCCCACAGCGCCACCCCAGCCUAGGCAGCUCACUUGGCAAGUCCCUCCAAACACCCCAAUCAGAAACAUGAACGGGUCAGCCCACCUCAGGUAUCCUAUUACAUCCAUCAAAAAACCGGUAACAGAGAGGACAAUGCAAGAGGGACAACAGCUCUGGAUGCAAUGAGAGAUGACAAGUGGAAUAUGAGUUGAACCCCUGCCAGGAUCAUAAGGGCUGUGGAAGUAGGCACAAGGGAGCUUGCUUGCCACUUCCAUCAGGUGAGGACACAGAGAGAAGGUGCCAUCUGAGAAACAGUGCUGAGAAUUGAACCCAGCGCCUCACUCAUGCCAG